UCAGGCCUAACACAUGCAAGUCGAGCGCGCCUUCGGGUGAGCGGCGGACGGGUUAGUAACGCGUGGGAACGUGCCCUUCUCUACGGAAUAGCCUCUGGAAACGGAGAGUAAUACCGUAUACGCCCUUUGGGGGAAAGAUUUAUCGGAGAAGGAUCGGCCCGCGUUAGAUUAGGUAGUCGGUGGGGUAACGGCCUACCAAGCCUACGAUCUAUAGCUGGUUUUAGAGGAUGAUCAGCAACACUGGGACUGAGACACGGCCCAGACUCCUACGGGAGGCAGCAGUGGGGAAUCUUAGACAAUGGGGGCAACCCUGAUCUAGCCAUGCCGCGUGAGUGAUGAAGGCCUUAGGGUCGUAAAGCUCUUUCGCCUGUGAUGAUAAUGACAGUAGCAGGUAAAGAAACCCCGGCUAACUCCGUGCCAGCAGCCGCGGUAAUACGGAGGGGGUUAGCGUUGUUCGGAAUUACUGGGCGUAAAGCGCGCGUAGGCGGAUUAGAAAGUUGGGGGUGAAAUCCCGAGGCUCAACCUCGGAACUGCCUCCAAAACUGCUAGUCUAGAGUUCGAGAGAGGUGAGUGGAAUUCCGAGUGUAGAGGUGAAAUUCGUAGAUAUUCGGAGGAACACCAGUGGCGAAGGCGGCUCACUGGCUCGAUACUGACGAUGAGGUGCGAAAGUGUGGGGAGCAAACAGGAUUAGAUACCCUGG
rnacentral:rRNA from 1 species